AUUGAACGCUGGCGGCAGGCUUAACACAUGCAAGUCGAGCGGAGAUGAGGUGCUUGCACCUUAUCUUAGCGGCGGACGGGUGAGUAAUGCUUAGGAAUCUGCCUAUUAGUGGGGGACAACAUUCCGAAAGGAAUGCUAAUACCGCAUACGUCCUACGGGAGAGAGCAGGGGGUCUUCGGACCUUGCGCUAAUAGAUGAGCCUAAGUCGGAUUAGCUAGUUGGUGGGGUAAAGGCCUACCAAGGCGACGAUCUGUAGCGGGUCUGAGAGGAUGAUCCGCCACACUGGGACUGAGAAACGGCCCAGACUCCUACGGGAGGCAGCAGUGGGGAAUAUUGGACAAUGGGGGGAACCCUGAUCCAGCCAUGCCGCGUGUGUGAAGAAGGCCUUAUGGUUGUAAAGCACUUUAAGCGAGGAGGAGGCUACUGAGACUAAUACUCUUGGAUAGUGGACGUUACUCGCAGAAUAAGCACCGGCUAACUCUGUGCCAGCCGCCGCCGUAAAAC
rnacentral:rRNA from 1 species